CUACGGGCGGCUGCAGUGAGGAAUAUUGCACAAUGGGGGGAACCCUGAUGCAGCAACGCCGCGUGGAGGAUGACGCAUUUCGGUGUGUAAACUCCUUUUAUAUGUCAAGAAAAUGACGGUAGCAUAUGAAUAAGCACCGGCUAACUCCGUGCCAGCAGCCGCGGUAAUACGGAGGGUGCAAGCGUUACUCGGAAUCACUGGGCGUAAAGGACGCGUAGGCGGGUUGGAAAGUCAGGUGUGAAAUCCUACAGCUUAACUGUAGAACUGCACUUGAAACUUCUAAUCUAGAGUAUGGGAGGGGGAGAUGGGAUUAGUGGUGUAGGGGUAAAAUCCGUAGAUAUCACUAGGAAUACCUAAAGCGAAGGCGAUCUCCUGGAACAUUACUGACGCUAAGGCGUGAAAGCGUGGGGAGCAAACAGGAUUAGAUACCCUUGUAGUC
rnacentral:rRNA from 1 species